GCUGGGUGUGGUGGUGCAUGCCUGUAAUCCCAGCACUCCGGAGGCUGAGGCAGGAGUAUCACUGUGAGUUCAAAACCAGCCUGGGCUGCAUAGUGAGUUCUAGGUCUCAACUACAUAGUGAGACCCUGUCUCAAAAAACCAAAGGGGGAAAACAAGAAAGAAACUAGAUAGGAUCUUGGCAGUGUAGUUCAGGCUGACCUGAACUCAUUGGGUAACCCAAGCUGACCUGGAACUCACAGUGAUCCUCCUGCCUCA
rnacentral:sRNA from 1 species